AAAAUCGAGUGUGAAAGUACUCAAAAUUGAGUGUUUUACUAAUACUGUCUUUUUGGAUUGUUUGUUAUUUACAUUGUUGAGUAAUUAUUACUUAAUUUGAGGGUGAUCUCCAAAAACUCACCUUGAGUUGUUGCUUUCUAUUAAAGUACCCAAAGCAAAGUGUUGACCUUUCACUUCAGUUUGGCUGAAAAAACACUUUGCAAAUCAGUCAGUCAGGAAGCAUGUUCCGCACAGGCUGAAAAUAUUUUGCUAUCUGCGGAAUAAAAUAAGGCCUUCGGGAAAACCAACCAAGUUCACGGCGGAAGUUUGGCACGGAGACUUUAUGCAAGAGCAACUGAGAAGCAGAAGAAGCGAGGUAGAACCGUCUUCUGUAUAUCCGUUUGGAUUAUUUGGAAAUGUGCAUACAGGCCAGGAAUAUGUAUGCAGCAUGAGGAACCAGAUGUAGCCGUUGCGGCAGAUAUUAUAUACCGCUGCCGGUUGGGCAAGAU